AGGCAAAAGGAUCAUGACUAAGAGUGGUAAUUCACUUCUGCCAAGCCUUCGAUUUCCUCAAGAAUAUUAACAACCGAGCCAAGGACUCAACAGAUGGAAAGUGGCCGUUGAAGAGGAUAAACUAGGAAGACAGGAAGGGAGAUGGCUGGAAGAGGCCAAAAGGGUUAGAACUAAGACUAAGAAGUUUUACCAAUAAAGGAGAAGAAAAGAGUCAGGCAGAGGAGCAAAGCAGAAGUGUAAAUAGUGAAUACGGUCUGGAAUGAAGAUAUUUGAAUCUGAAUGGGUUGAAAAUUAUGCCUCCAAUAGUACAUGUACUGGAAGAGUGGGAAGGAGUUAUUUGAGAGAAUUCAGUGGAAAGUUCUUACGCGGGUCUCUCACUGCUGUGGCCUCUCCCGCUGCGGAGCGCAGGCUCCGGACGCGCAGGCUCCGCGGCAUGUGCGAUCUUCCCGGACCGGGGCUCGAACCCGCGUCCCCUGCAUCGGCAGGCGGAUUCUCAACCACUGCGCCACCAGGGAAGCCCUCAUUAAGUGUUUUUGAUUCUUUAAAAUUUCACCUUUUUUAUGCAAGCAAGAAAUAAUUUUAGAAGUUUAGAUCUAUACAAACUUUAA